AUUGAACGCUGGCGGAAUGCUUUACACAUGCAAGUCGAACGGCAGCACGGGUGCUUGCACCUGGUGGCGAGUGGCGAACGGGUGAGUAAUACAUCGGAACGUACCCAGUUAUGGGGGAUAACUAACCGAAAGGUUAGCUAAUACCGCAUACGCCCUGAGGGGGAAAGCGGGGGACCGUAAGGCCUCGCGUAAUUGGAGCGGCCGAUGUCUGAUUAGCUAGUUGGUGAGGUAAAGGCUCACCAAGGCGACGAUCAGUAGCAGGUCUGAGAGGAUGAUCUGCCACACGGGAACUGCGACACGGUCCAGACUCCUACGGGAGGCAGCAGUGGGGAAUUUUGGACAAUGGGCGAAAGCCUGAUCCAGCCAUUCCGCGUGAGUGAAGAAGGCCUUCGGGUUGUAAAGCUCUUUCGGCAGGGAAGAAACGCUCUGGGAUAAUACUCCGGGGUAAUGACGGUACCUGAAGAAGAAGCACCGGCUAACUACGUGCCAGCCGCCGCCGUAA
rnacentral:rRNA from 1 species